rnacentral:rRNA from 1 species
CCUACUGGAGGCAGCAGUGAGGAAUAUUGGUCAAUGGCCGGAAGGCUGAACCAGCCAUGCCGCGUGAAGGUCAGUGCCCUAUGGGCGUUAACAUUCUUUUGUGCGGGAGCAAUAAUGGUCACGUGUGGCCAGACGAGAGUACCGUACGAAUAAGAAUCGGCUAACUCCGUGCCAGCAGCCGCGGUAAUAAGGGGGAUGCAAGGGUUCUCCGGAAUUAUUGCGUUUAAAGGGUGCGUAGGCUGGGGGGUUAGUCAGCGGGGAAAUGCCCCCGCUCAACGGGGUGAAGUGCCAUUGAUACUGUCUGGCUGGAAUGCGGAUGCCGUGGGAGGAAUGUGUGGUGUAGCGGUGAAAUGCAUAGAUAUCACACAGAACACCGAUUGCGAAGGCAUCUCACGAAUCCGCGAUUGACGCUGAUGCACGAAAGCGUGGGUAUCAAACAGGAUUAGAUACCCUUGUAGUC